AUUGAACGCUGGCGGCAUGCCUAACACAUGCAAGUCGAACGGGGCAGCAAUGCCUAGUGGCGGACGGGUGAGGAAUACGUAGGAAUCUGCCCUUAAGUGGGGGAUAACCAGGGGAAACCCUGACUAAUACCGCAUGAUCUCUUCGGAGCAAAGAGGGGGACCGCAAGGCCUCUCGCUUCUGGAUGAGCCUACGUCUGAUUAGCUAGUUGGUAGGGUAAAGGCCUACCAAGGCGACGAUCAGUAACUGGUCUGAGAGGAUGAUCAGUCACACCGGAACUGAGACACGGUCCGGACUCCUACGGGAGGAAGCAGUGGGGAAUAUCGGACAAGGGGCGCAAGCCUGAUCCAGCAAUGCCGCGUGUGUGAAGAAGGCCUUCGGGUUGUAAAGCACUUUAGCCUGGAAAGAAAAAACUUUGGUUAACACCCAAAGUCUUGACGGUACCAGGAGAAUAAGCACCGGCUAACUCUGUGCCAGCCGCCGCCGUAAUAC
rnacentral:rRNA from 1 species